GCAGUGGUAGCUCAGUGGUUAAAGCAUUGGGUUACUGAUUGGAAGGUCAUGAAUUCAAACCCCAUCACCACCA